ACUGGGCGUCUUCUGCCCGGCCCCUUCGCCCACGUGAAGAACGCCAGGGAGCUGUGAGGCAGUGCUGUGUGGUUCCUGCCGUCCGGACUCUUUUUCCUCUACUGAGAUUCAUCUGUGUGAAAUAUGAGUUGGCGAGGAAGAUCGACCUAUUAUUGGCCUAGACCAAGGCGCUAUGUACAGCCUCCUGAAAUGAUUGGGCCUAUGCGGCCCGAGCAGUUCAGUGAUGAAGUGGAACCAGCAACACCUGAAGAAGGGGAACCAGCAACUCAACGUCAGGAUCCUGCAGCUGCUCAGGAGGGAGAGGAUGAGGGAGCAUCUGCAGGUCAAGGGCCGAAGCCUGAAGCUGAUAGCCAGGAACAGGGUCACCCACAGACUGGGUGUGAGUGUGAAGAUGGUCCUGAUGGGCAGGAGAUGGACCCGCCAAAUCCAGAGGAGGUGAAAACGCCUGAAGAAGAGAUGAGGUCUCACUAUGUUGCCCAGACUGGGAUUCUCUGGCUUUUAAUGAACAAUUGCUUCUUAAAUCUUUCCCCACGGAAACCUUGAGUGACUGAAAUAUCAAAUGGCAAGAGACCGUUUAGUUCCUAUCAUCUGUGGCAUGUGAAGGGCAAUCACAGUGUUAAAAGAAGACAUGCUGAAAUGUUGCAGGCUGCUCCUAUGUUGGAAAAUUCUUCAUUGAAGUUCUCCCAAUAAAGCUUUACAGCCUUCUGCAAAGAAGUCUUGUGAAUCUUUUGUCAAUUUUAUUUCUAGCUAUUUGAUGCUGUGAAAUGUUUCAUUCUUUGCAAUUUUGUAUUCUAUCUCCUUGAGCUGUGUGUAGAGGCAUAAUUCUCAUGUAUUGAUUUUCUAUCCAGCAACCUUGUUAAAUAUGCUUAUGAAUUUUAAAAGUUUACUUCUAGGUUUUUUCAGUUUUCAACCUACAGAAUCAUAUCAUUUUUGAAUAAGAACAAUUUUGUUUCUGCCUUUUUUGUUUGUUUUUUCUUUUGUAUUUUUCGUAGAGGUGGGAUUUUGGCCUGUGUCCUAGGCUUUUUUUGAACUCCUGAGCGCAAGUAAUCCACUCUCCUUGGCCUUUCAAAGUGUUGGGAUUACAGGCAUGGGCCACCGUGCUGGUCCUGUUUUUGCCAUUUUAAACCCUUUUAUUUCCUUUUCUGAUUUUAUGGCAUUGAGCAGAUCUACCGGAUACAAUUGUGAUAGUGGAAAUUUUUGUGUUAUUCCUGAUGAGAAAUGGAAAAAUUUCAACAUUUCACGACAAUAUUUAGUGUACUUUUUUUGUAGAUGGACUUUUUCAGAGUAAGUCAAGCCAUUCUGUUUUAGUUUGUUGAGAGUGUUCAUUUUGAAUAUAUGUUGAAUUUCAUCAAACACUGACCUGAGUCAUCUUAAAACAUGUGAAUUGAGAUUUCUUUGCUACUAAGAAAGUGAGCGGGCACUCUGCUUCAUGUUUACUUUUGUCAUGUUGCAUGAAAAACAUUUUGCUUCAUGUUUGAUUCUGUAUGUUGAAAACUGAAAUCAUCUAUUGUGAUUACCACAGGGUUUUUUCCCCCAGUAAUCUGUUUAUGUAGUCAAUUACGUUGAUAAAUCUGUACUUUUUAAAUUUUAACAAUUGAGACAGGUCUCACUCUGUCACCCAUGCUGACUGCAGUAGUGUGAUCACAGCUUACUGCAACCUCAACCUCCUGGGCUCAGGCGAUCCUCCCACCUCACCCUCCUCAGUAGCUAGGACUAUAGGUACAUGCCACCAUGCCAAGCUAAUUUUUCUGUUUUAGAGAUGGUAUUUUUUCAUGUUGCCCAGGCUGGUUUUAUACUCCUAAUCUCAAGCCAUCCACUAGCCUCAGCCUCCCAAAGUGCUGGGAUUACAGGAAUGAGUCACGGUGCCUGGAAAUUUUGUACAUUUAAACCAACAAUUUGGUCAUGGGUAAUCUAUGUCCUAAUAAUUUAUUUAAGGAUUUUUAUGUAUAUCCUCAUGAGUGACAUUACCUGUACUUUUAUUUCAUAUGCUCAUUUGUUGGACGUUGUUAUCAAGGUUCCUCUAGCUUCAUAAAACGGGUUGGUAUGUAAAACCUCUUUUUCCAUUCACUGGAACUCAAGUCUCCUCAAGGCUGUGAGUAAUGCAGGGCUAGGCUUUCCCAUAAUGAGCUUUUCUAGAAUGCUUCUCUCAGAUUUGGACCCUACUUAAACAGCAGUGACCAAACGGGCAGCUCCAGGUACCUAUCCCCUCAAACUUUGUGAGGGUCGCGUUCUCUGAAGAUGCCUCUUCAAUUUGAAAGCUAUCUGUUCCUGUUUCUCUGCUGAUAUUAACUCUCUGUGCACAGAAAGUUAAACGUCACUGGUUAUUAAUUUCCCUAGAUUUUGAUCUGUGCUGUGUGGCUGAGAAUGGGCUGACUGACCCUAGAUCUGUGUAUAAUUAUGACAAUGGCUCCAUUUAUUUUUAAAAUAAGAGGAAUUAUUAUAAAAUUCCUAUUUACUGGAUGUGUACUAUCUAUGAAUUACUUCUUUGUGCUAGGUUGUGUACAUGUAUGACCUCUUUAGAUCCUCACAAGAUAAGGCAGAAUUUUCAUGAAAUUGAUGACUGACUCCAGUAAGAAGCAGAUUUGGGGGGAUUUCAAUUUCUAAGCUCAAAGCCCUUGCACUUUUCUCAAAGUAAAGCUUUUGAAAGUGUUAAAUGUACACGAACUGAUGGUGUAUAUGAUGAUUUUAGUUGUAAUCUGAUGUUUUCUUUAAAAAUUUACAUAUACAAAAGUGUUUGACUCAAAAGGCUUUGUUCUUCCCUUAAAGGAAGCAUCUACCAAAAUGUGGCACACAAACCUUGCAUGGUGUCUCUAGGGCCUCCUACCCCGCAUUUCCCCUGCUUUUUCUCUUGUUCUGACUGAAAAACAAAGUGCUUUGACUGUGCUGUGACCCAGCCAGCUGCAUGUUUACCCAGCAUGCUUGAACCCAAGCUGGAGCCUUGAACAUAAAGGUGUUUAAGUUGUUGCUCAAAAUAUGGAAAGAAUCUAGCUCUGGCCUUGAACCAAAUCCCUUAAACUCUCCUAUAAAACUCCAUAACCUGACCCCCUCAGUGCGGAUAUACCUAGGCAUGACAUUCUUGUUGCCUGUUGCGAGGAUGCUUUAGCCUACUCUAAGUUCUCCCAAUAAAUGCUUUGGACUGAUCA